rnacentral:piRNA from 1 species
UUCGAAUCCCAUCCUCGUCGUGUGUAG